UGCUUGAUGAAUAUAUGCAGUGAAACAAAAGGGAAGGAUUUUCAUCCAGAUCUGGAAAAGCUGAGAAUGAGAUCUGAAGAGGAAAGAAAAGAGAUGCAGCAAACCAACAGUCCUCUGUUGUCCAUCACCAAAUCUUUCUGGAUUCCAGGGACACAUCAUAAGGCAGACGACGAGCUCUUAGAGUUCUUGACUGAGAGUAAGCUCAGUUUGUCAUAAGAAACUCAAGUGACUUAUCAUUCCUUUUUGAUGUUCAUACAUUUCCUGGAGGGCAUUAAUGCUUUGGAAAUGGGAAGAAUAGGGAAAAGGUGAGGUGGAACUCAGACAAUAGUUAACAGUAUAAGAUAAAGAAGGCUGUAUGUGUUUCUGAAAAGAAAACAUCUUUCUCCCAACUAACCAUCCUAGAAACUGAGCCAGCGUGAAGAGUUUACAUUAAAAAGGCAUUUUACAGUUAGGACUAUAUUAGCGUCCUCUCAAUUAAUGGAUAUUAUUGAAAUUUAAGUAUAAAUCUGGAUACUUACCUGGGUGAUUGUUUUUUCUGGCAAGAAUACAAUUCUUACCUAGAUAAUCUUUAUACAUCUUCAGAGCUGAAUUUCUUCCAUCCUUAGCGUUAAGCAGGUGUCUGGGGAUUCUCUUGAAACAUCUUUGAUAAGUAGCAGAAUUUCAUCCUUUUUGGACCGGAAAAAAAAAAAAAAGUUAUUGGCACCAGGUGAACUAUCACUUGUGAUCAUUUGCUUAGUCUUUAGGUUUUCCAGCACCUUCUCUAUGAAGCAAACAGCUAUUUAUUUACCCCUUAUCUUGAUGAAGUGGUAUGUAACACAAUCCUGGAAUUCAACUAAACACAAAGAAAUAAACCAAAAGAAAUCAGGGCUAGCUUAUGGAACAAGAGGAAUGGCUAGGAACAUCUGGAAUUAUCUACAGUUAUUAACUAGUGUAUACUACUCUCACAGACAUCAAGGUGCUGAAGCAGGCAGAACACCUGAUGGCAUCCAGAAUUAUUCUUCUGAAUCCACAGUUCACGACACCUCCUCUGUAUGGUGGUAAAAAAACUAAGUAUCUAGAAACCUCUUUUCUUCUUGGUCUUCUGAAAGAUGUCAAUGAUGAGCUCCAAAGUCAUGCGGCAGCAACUGGAUUACUACAAAGCCAAAGGCUGGGCAAAAGUAAACCUCAACUCUGCUCAUUCUUACAAGAAAUGUCAGAAGAAACAGCAAAUUCUUAUCAGGGUGUACAAGAUACCUUGAUGAAUCAAGAAGGAGAACUAAUAGCAGUUGAUUCUGCAACUCUUUCUACAAGGGAGUUUGUCAUAUAUCAGUACGGCAUCUCCAUCCUGCAAUUUCUCAGACUUCAUAUUGAUGCUCCAGAAAUUAACCUGUGUGUUGCCUCCAGCAUACCUCUCUGUAACGCUACAGGCAACGCCUUCAGAAACUGCUGCUUUUAUCAGAAAUCAGAGAACAAGCUGUUCGUUCUAAGGGAUUGCCUGGGUUCUGCUGGAAGCUUCCUGCUGCUCCUCGUGCACUCUUUAGCUCAUAUCACUGCCGCUGACUUCAACCAAGACACCAACCCAAUCUUUCUGAGGCUUUUUUAUCAGGCGCUAAAGACUUGCCUUGGUGAAAUGUUCUCUCUUAGACUCCAGCUGUCAACAGUUCUCCAGGGUGAAAAAUCUUCUGGGAUAUCUCAGAUGUUACUAAAGGAAGAACCAUUCUCCAAGGAAGAAAUAACUCUGAUCUCACAACUUUUUGAGGUAAAAACAAAAAGCAAAGACCAAUUCAUGCCAAUCACAAGGACAGUAUAAAAAGCAGUACCAUGAAAAAAUGUAUUUAAAGAGUCUAUAAAUGGCUUUUAAAAUUAACACUGAUUUGCUCUCUCCACUUCUGUGCUUAUUGUAUGAUACAUUUGAGGAACCACUAAGUGGCAAGUUGUUUGUGAAGAGGAAAGAACAUUUCCUUCAUGCCUUAAGCAGCUAUGAAAAGGGCAGUUUGGAAUGGAGGACACGGUAAGAAUGAUUUGAGAGGAUGUAUUAAAAACUCUAGUAUUAAGAUAUCAACAAUCAAACAAUCUGGGGGGUUGUAAACGAAGCAAAUCAUGACACCUUUUCAUUAUGACCUCACUCUAUACUACAAAACCAAUUUCCACAACCUGCUACAUCUACUGACACUGUAUAAAGGACAGGCUGAAUGUGUUGCCUGAUUGUUACAAAGACUGACUGCUUCUCUCUAAGCUAUCAUCUUUUGAGUAACAGAAGUUAAAUUUCUGUGAAAUUGAUCUUUCUGGCUUGGUCUUGUGAAAAGUCUACAGAUAGCACCAUCAGUGUCACCUUGACUGUCUGAUUUUAAGCAUUCCAUUUCUUUAGCUCAGCAGAGGAGAGCUGCACUUACUUGACCCCUUCAGAACUUGAGGAUAAAGUGGACACAUUAACUGAAGAGCUGGUGGAUAUCACAGAAGGUGAACGCUGCUUUUUGAACAGUAAAGGCAGUGAAGACUUGCUUUUUGACCACCUUGAAUUAACUAGUUUGGAAAAAGACCAUUUGGUACGACAAAUACAGGCAUUAGAAGAGAAGAUAGCCCUAGGUAAAAAGUUUUAAUGAUAUUCAGAAGACUUCAUGAAUUGGUUCUAAAUUGGUCCUCUGCUUUUGUCUUCAGGCUUUACACCAAAAUAAAUCUUGUG
ensembl:lncRNA